rnacentral:rRNA from 1 species
AGUGAACGCUGGCGGUAGGCCUAACACAUGCGAGUCGAACGGCAGCACAGUAAGAGCUUGCUCUUACGGGUGGCGAGUGGCGGACGGGUGAGGAAUACAUCGGAAUCUACUUUUUCGUGGGGGAUAACGUAGGGAAACUUACGCUAAUACCGCAUACGACCUACGGGUGAAAGCAGGGGAUCUUCGGACCUUGCGCGAUUGAAUGAGCCGAUGUCGGAUUAGCUAGUUGGCGGGGUAAAGGCCCACCAAGGCGACGAUCCGUAGCUGGUCUGAGAGGAUGAUCAGCCACACUGGAACUGAGACACGGUCCAGACUCCUACGGGAGGCAGCAGUGGGGAAUAUUGGACAAUGGGCGCAAGCCUGAUCCAGCCAUACCGCGUGGGUGAAGAAGGCCUUCGGGUUGUGAAGCCCUUUUGUUGGGAAAGAAAAGCAGCAGGUUAAUACCCCGCUGUUCUGACGGUACCCAAAGAAUAAGCACCGGCUAACUUCGUG